rnacentral:rRNA from 1 species
AUUGAACGCUGGCGGCAUGCCUUACACAUGCAAGUCGAACGGCAGCACGGGUGCUUGCACCUGGUGGCGAGUGGCGAACGGGUGAGUAAUACAUCGGAACGUACCUUAUCGUGGGGGAUAACGCAGCGAAAGCUGUGCUAAUACCGCAUACGCCCUGAGGGGGAAAGCGGGGGAUCGCAAGACCUCGCGCGAUUAGAGCGGCCGAUGCCUGAUUAGCUAGUUGGUGGGGUAACAGCCCACCAAGGCGACGAUCGGUAGCUGGUCUGAGAGGACGACCGGCCACACUGGGACUGAGACAAGGCCCACACUCCUACUGGAGUCAGCAGUGGGGAAUUUUGGACAAUGGGGACAACCCGGACCCCGCAGUGCCGCGUGAGUGAAGAAGGCCUUCGGGUUGUAAAGCUCUUUUGUCAGGGAAGAAACACCGGCUCUAACACAGUCCGGGAAUGACGGUACCUGAAGAAGAAGCACCGGCUAACUACGUGCCAGCAGCCGCCGCCG